UGGGCAUCCAGUUUAUCCCCACUCUGGCUGCAGGGUCCCAGGGCACAGCUGGUCACCUCCUCACACCCCCGGACCCCUGAAAUUCAGAAAGGUCCGGGCGGAACAAACUAGCCCGCCUCUGGGAGCCAUCGCACGCACCCCGCAUAUAACUGGGGAAGCUGAGAACCAUAGCUGCGCAAUGACCUGUUCCAAGGCACUAAGAAAUGGUUCCUGUUACUGGCAGCUGGGACUUGCUGGGCCGAGACCGAGUGGCCCAAAUAGACAUCUGAAUUUUGUGGCUCCAAAAAGCGAGGUCAAAGGACAGGCAGGCAGCCAUCAAUAGGUAAUCACCAGGCACUGUGAGUCAAGUAGAUACACUGGGGGUUUUGUUUCCUUUUCUGUCACGGGGCGGCGCAAGCGCUUACCACUGAGCCGCACCUCCUACCCCUAAAUAAUUUCUGGUGUGGAGUCU
rnacentral:lncRNA from 1 species